GCCUGACCCUGCAAGGCCGCCAUUAAAGCCUCGGUCCUCCAGUCCUCCGUUCUGCUUGACUCCGUGUCCACUUAUUAAGUUCAGACAAGUUGACUGUGUUUCUCACUUGGAGAGGAAGCAGUGGCUGUGGCUCCUGUGGACCUGUCCCACCAGGCUGUGACUCGGUCCCAACAGGGUCAAGAGAGAAAAGGACAUCCUCCAGACAAAGAAAAUGAGCCUGCUUAUUGUCGGGAGGAAGGCCACUGGAGAAAGGAGACCAGGGAGAUGAAACCUCCUCCCAACAGACAAGUGGAAACCAGAACCCAGACUCAGAUGAUGGCGAAGGGGCCCAGGGAUCCAUCUGACCUUGACAGUUCCCGAUCCGAUUUCCCACCAGGAACCCCAGGGUCAGAGGUGACACAAAAAGCUGAUUUGCAGAACCCAAGACAUCCUGUCCCAGGGUACUGAGGCAGAUCGAUAAGAAAAACAACAAGCAACGGAAUCAGCUCAAGAAUGCCUGCUCUGAUCCUCACAAGGUGCUCCUUCAUGUGUCUGGGGUCCUGAACGCCACAGCCUCUCUCCCAGGACUUCCCCUUUAAAAGCACUAACUGCUCGUGCUUCGGGCCGACAGUGGUUCUCCAAGGCAUGGGUCUGCCACAGCUGCAUUUGUUGGCAAAUUAAUGAACUAUUCCUUUCCUUUCCUCAAAGCCUUGUCAUUGUGUUGUGUGUUUUGACUUUGGUGACAAGGACCAGUUUUCAGUAACAUCCCCACCACACAGGUGAAGAACAAGAACACAGCCAUCACCCCGGAAGGCCUCUGUGGGCCUCACCCUGCUCACAUUCCCAAGAGGACCAUGCCUGCCCUUGAUAGACCUUCCGUUUGCCACUGUGAACUAAUCCAUAAAGUCUAUAUUUUGGAUUUCUAGUGAUAGGGAAAGAUUUACAAGGACAGCAAUUCACGAGGGCUAGCGGGUGGCUCCCCUCCAUCUCGACCCCUCCUCAACACAAACAAAAAAAACCCAUUCCCUUGGUUUCCCCGCUCUGCUGAGCACCAGGUCCCAAGGUUUGCUCCCUAAACUCCCUCCCCCUUGCCUGCUCGCUUGCUGUGCACGUAGGAAUGUUACAGAUAAGGAAGCAGAAAGAUUUAUAUUGCUCCC